UCAGCACAAGAAAAAGGCGUAUUCGUCGAAAAUACAUGGAAAAUUGAUCGGACGAAAUUACAUAGAUAAUAAUGAGGAUGCAAUUAAAACGCUGCACGCGGGGCGCAUGUGUCAAAGUUGGCGCGAAAAGUGGGACGUGUUUCUCGUGUUCCUGCGGAGAAACAGCUGUCUCUAUUCCGCGGCGAAUCCCUUGGCAGCAGGAAAAUUAGGUACGGAUUCCUCUAGUCUCGAUCGGAGAUGCCCGUCACGAAUUAGCAUUUAUAUCACCGUGGUACCGUGCAACGAGGUGGAAAUGGAAUAUCCAGAACGCCGUGAUAGAGACUCGCCCGGUCUUCCUGCCACGAAUUAAUAUGUCCGUGUCUCCUCCAGCUGGAAUCGAUCGUCUUGUAACAGAAACUCGAAGCGGAUUUCUACGCCGAACAGGGGCCCGAUCAACAAGCUGCUCGUUCCUUCGGCUUCUUCUCGACAAAUGGAUUGUACCUGUUUCCUCUGGACGCCUGUUUCAUCAACCACGGCGUCAGCGUUCCGUCUCAAUAAUCAUUGCGGUCUUUCACGUCAUCGCGAGCAAGCGUAAAAUCGUAAUCCAAUUUGUCUGCGGAGGCCGCAACGAGCGAACGAAGGCGACGCGGCCCGGUCGAAUGAAGUCGUCGCGCAUCCCUGGCCUGGGCCGCCCGUUUAAUCAUCAUAAAUUUCGCGAGGAAACCGCAAACCAUCGUUCUCCCUUACGUCCACUUUGUCCCGGGGCCCGUGAGGCCGCUUCAAACGUGUCACGACGUUCCACGCGUGUUUCUCGUCGUGGUUUCACUUUGGACAGCCAUCCACCGCUUCGUUUUUGUCGCGAUGCAGGUGUUAGAAGGCUUGGUUGCACGCAGACCUUCGUUCGAAGCGGACGUUCUACAGAAAAUUUAUGACGUACCUGCAGCUUUAAAUUCCUCGGAAUCGAAGAAUUGCCACCGCAAAGAUCUGGCAAGCUCAGAGAAGCUGAUUCCGUGAAAACGGAAAGAAUCCGGGGGCUCCGCUUUAAUCAAGGUCGAAUGUUCAUUCUCCACGUCCACGGUCGGGCUAUCAAAUACAAUCACCGAACGUGCGGCGUCUUUUUCCUUUUCCCGUAGCGACCGGAUGCACAGUCUAACACACACCCUCUUCACCUACCGAAGCCAGAGUCGAUUCGUUCUCGCUCUCACGAAUUGAAUCCAGCCCAGUGGUGGUGAAGCAGUUUCUGGAGGGAAGAUGAAGGAGCGAGAGAAGGUUGCCCUGGCAACGACAGAGGGUUUCUCGACGUUGGUUGCCCGGGCAACCUCUAACCGGCGAUCCCUAAAUAUGCGCCAGCAGGCCAGAAGUGGCGUGAAAGAGGGAGGGAAAAGAGGGUGAGAAGAAGAGGUCGAGCCUGUAAGAAGAGGAAAGGGAGAAUCAGGGUGAGAGAGGAAAGAUCCUCGCCACUGGUUGGCAGAAGGAGCAUACCGGUGGGUUGGUAACUGUUACCGCGGAAGGUGAGGAGACCCAGUUAAUUACUAAAGCGUUUUAAUCGUCGGCAAAGUUCCGACGGCACUCAGGAGUCUGGACCAAAAGGGCUUCGGAGAAUGUGGCGGCUGUGUAAAUUAGGAACUCGCCAGUUUCCCUCUAGACUGUGUACACGAGUUUGUCUACCACGUUCAAGGAGCAAACCGGCAAGUUUUAACGGGGUGGGACGCGCGGUACGCGAAGCAGUCGAAUUUUUAUUCCAAUCGUCUUAUGAGAUUUUUACAUUAUUUUCUUACAAGAAACGAACGAUGCGUUUGGCGGGUCAAUUUCAAUUCAUCGAUCUUCAGAACAUUUAUUGACGUUAAUGAGCAAUUUAUAAUUCGAUUAAUCAAUAGACAAAACCUCAAAGUGCUAAAAAUAUGCUCACCGUCGAUUCCUCGAUUCACGAAGCAACAAUAUUCGUCAAUGUAUUACUUCGCGCUUAACUCAGCCAGGUUUACGUAAAUGUUAAACAAUUUAUCAAAUUUCUUAUCCAACUUUACUUGCUGGGAAAAGCCAUUACAUCAUUUCCGUAAUACAAAGUAACAAAAUACGAAGCAACAGACGAUGCCAUAGAUCUUCAGUCAGCACAAGAUCGUUGAAAAGCGUCGAAUUCCGGCGUCGAUCGGCGCAAUACGUUCACCUAUUCAUCCAAAUAGACGAGGACACGUCGGUAACCAAGCUAGCCCGACGUCCCGCGUUAAAUAACUUUGCUUAACAAGGUGCUGCCGCCACUGUAAAAAGAUUACGUAAGCGGUAAUGGCCGCCGGCUCCUCCUAAAUUCGAGUACGAAGAGUUCCAGCCACGGAGUGCACCGAGUCGAGAAGCAAGGCGCGAGAAAGAGAGGAUGAUAGAGGCUGAGGGGGAACAGGAAUGGCGAACGGGAAGGAGGAGGAGGUGUAGGAGGAGGGAGAGGCGACACGACGCCCGGUGGCGGGGGUUAAUUUUAAUUUCCUAAUUUUUCCCACCCCGAGGCACAGGUAAUUUCCUCCCCAGAAGAGAAUAGAUGUAAUUACUUAACGCCUCCGAGCUCAGAGCUCCUCUUAUUAAAAGAGGAUCGUGCCCUCGAGGGCUGGAGGGGUGGAAGAUACUCGUCUGGUGGGGGUGGGAGUGGAGUGGUGGAAGCACAACAAUCGUCGGAGAACGAUCGCGAAGAAAGGGAAACGUUGUCGGGCUCGUUCCCUCGAAGAUGAACAACGGCGGAGAUCAAGCUUCAUCGUGCUUUCGAUCGUCUCUGGCUUUCCCAGAAUAUUUCUGCGUCGAUCUCUUCAAGUCUGUAUUCGUGAAAUCCUCCGGAGGACAGUUGCGAGUUGUUUAAUAAAAAAAAAAAAAAAAAAAAGGGAAGAAGGGGAAAG